rnacentral:ncRNA from 1 species
UGUGCUAUACUAGUAAGGUUGAAUGAAUCAACCCUUGGUGCUUAGCUUCUUUCACCAAGCAUAUUACACGCGGAUAACCGCCAAAGGAGAA